CCAACCCGAUUCCUCUUCCAAUUUCAAACUCCCCCUAAAUUUUUUGUGCUUGUAUUCCCUCCCUCCAUUUUCUUCGGUAAAUCAAUUUCCUCUCAACUCAUUCUCUUCACACACCUCUUCAACUCAAAAUCCUAGCUCAUGAUCCAGAAUAACAAAGCAAGUACAUGUCUCAAAGCUCCGACGUGAACCACCAUUCUAACCCAACCCGUUACCUAUUAGUUUUGGUCAAAACGAGGUCUUCGAUUGCAAAAAUAGAUUUAGGGUUCCGACUAGAGAGAUUUAGUAAGGAGCGAUACUGGAGUAAAUGCGCAUAAGUCGAAGACGUGAGAGGAAUCUGGAAAAGCAUAGGCUUCUUCCAAAGGAAAUGCAUAGAACCCCAAUUGGCCAAUUCUUCUUUCUCUAUCUAAUUCGUUCUGAUUUACCUUCAUAAUCUGAUUGGUUGAUAUGUCUGCUGGUGGUCAACUUGAAGCCAACAAGAAAGCUAUGAAGAUCCAGGUGAUAUGGCUGAAGCAAUUGAUUUGACUGGAUAUGGAGGUGUUUUGAAGAUGCUUGUGAAGUGAAGAGUGCUAAAAAUCUGAUACUAUUGCUCCUUCAGAGAGUCUUCCUCUUGUUGAUGGUUGGGGAGGUUGCCAAAAUAACUUGCAAGUCAAAUUAUGCCUCUGGUAGCACUGGUUCUCCGCCAGAUAUUCCACCAGAGUAAUUACCUCAUAGCUUAUCGUGUCUAAUAUUAUGCAAUUGUUAUUCCAUGUUAACCAGAGUGCAACUCUUAUCUUUGAGGUGGAGCUGGUGGCUUGCGGGCCAAGAAAAGGUUCUCGCGUCACUAACGCCAUAGAUGAAAGGGCUAGACUAGACUAAGGUUGUUUUGAAUGGGUAUUUGAGGAGGAUGCGGUCUAUUUCGAUUACUUGGAAUUAGAUUAGUGACUCCAAGGGACUGCAGUCGUUAGUUUUAUUGCACCGCCUUCAAGUCAGAUAUUUACGAGUUCAUAAUCUCAAUUUUUAGGUUGGGGAGGUUGCCAAAAUAACUUGCAAGUCAGAUUAUGCUUAUGUGCAACUCUUAUCUUUGAGGUGGAGCUGGUGGCUUGCAGGCCAAGAAAAGGUUCUCGCGUCGCUAACGCCACAGAUGAAAGGGCUAGACUAGAGUAAGUUAUGUAUCCAACUUUAUACACUUGAACAUAUAAUUGGAUGGGGGUGUAAACUAGCUGGGCCGAGUCCGAGCCUGACUAUGCUUGAGCUCGGCUCGGUUUGAGCCUACUUAUUUGAGCUCGAGCUCGGCUUGUGAGUAAAACCCAAAGCUUGAGCUUGGCUCGAGCUAUUUUGAGAACAACCUCAACGAGCUAAAAGCUAGGUUCGAGCUCGCUUCAAUGUUGCUUAAAUGAGCCAAAGUUCAGCUCGAGCUUGGCUCGCUAAUCUUAUCAUUAUUAUAUCAUAUAUAAAAACUAAAAAAUUGGUUGGGCUCGUUUAGGCUUGCGUGCCUAGACGAGCCUUGUACUUUUAGGCUUGAGCUCGAGCUCGAUAACUUAUGAGCUCUAUUUCAGGCUUCAAGGCUCGGCUUGUUCGAGCUUUUAACCGAGCCAAUAACGAGUAGCCUUGAGCCUUUGACCUUGUUUACACCCCUACUUUCAUGCUCAAAUGGAUCAUGUUUAAUAACUAUUGAGCUGAACUUAUAUUUCUAUGCUCAAAUGGAUCAUGUUUAAUAACUAGUGAGCUGAAGAGGCAAAGGGAAAUGGUUGCUGCACAGAAGGAAGAAGAGAAAAUGAAGUGUGAAGAAGCAAAGGCAGCAGUUGUUCCUCGUAUGCAAGUAGAGAGUAUAUGGACUUGAAGAAAACAACCAAGAAAU